UCUUUGGCAGCCAGGCACUCUCUAACUCCAGUUUGUGGACAAUAAAUAAUGGUGCAGCUUGCAGAAUUUCAAGUGCUACAGCUGGUGGCCAGAAGCCAACCACUCUGCCACAAAAAGUGGUGCCACCUCCAAGUUCUUCCUCCUCGCUGGUCCCCAAGCCCCCAGCCAAUCACAAACAAGUCCUCAGAAAGACGACAUCCCAGAGGGCCUCCAAAUCCUGCUCACACUAAGAGAUGAGCCGCAACUGCAUGGAGGAAGAACCUGUUUGCUACUCCCGCUCCAGCAGGGGUGUGGGGCCGAAGCAUCCACCAGCACUGCAAGGGGUCCACGGUAUUUUUUUUUUUUUUUUUUUUUGCUGCCUCAGUCCCCAGAGCCUUCAAGCAACAGUGGCUGUAGAUUGUUGCCAAUCAGCCAAUCCAGAAUUUUACUGAGACGACGGGAUAACACAUCCGCUGGGUUUUGACUGAACUUGGUAGUGGGGACAUUCAACUGAUAUGUUAUAUACCCCAUCAGAGCACACAUGUAUCUUUUAUCCCUUUUACCUCCCGCCCCCCCAAACCCACUUAGGCUUCCUCUGUCCCUUUCCUGCUACCACACAGAGAUGAUAUAAAAGAGGCUCUUUGGCUAUUUGCAUUUUGCUUCCUCUUCUUUUCCAGAUUGCAGUAUUAAGCUUUACUUCCCACAAGCCUAAAAUCCCAACAUAAUCUACCAAAGUUGUUCUUCCCUUUUCCGAGGGGUCGGGGGAAGGGGGAAGCAUACAUCACAAGCUUCCCAGAGAGCGGAACAAAGUCGGUGUGCUGUUGACCACAUGAGCCGUGGUGAAGGCACCCUUUGGAAUUACUGAUUUCUAAAAUUAAUAAAGUAAUUCUAUUUUUAUUUUCUUUUUCCAUUUACUAAUUUCCCAACAAUCAGUAUUCACAAACAAGCCUGAAGUGGAACCAACUUCUCGUUUUCUUUCAUUGCUGGGCAAUUUUUUAAACUACGUUUUAGAAAUGUGAACUACAAAGAGAUGUUUUAUUCUUCCAUUUGGUUUCAGCAGAUCGUGGGUCCAGGCUCUUCCCCACAGGCAGCUCCUGAACCUGGGAAGCUCGUAUGUGCACAUGUCUCCAUUAUCGGCCCGCCAUGGACAGGUCCUCUAGGGGUCCUCAUCAGAAUGAGGCGGCACAGCCCUCCCAGACGCCUUUCCACUUGACCUCUGCCCCCUCUCCUCACCUUUCCCUGGUCCCCUCUCUGGCUUCUACUGAAGAAAAGGUUGAAAGGUGGGCUGCAGAGCCCGACUGAAGGACUGACAGCUACCCUGGGGAGUUACUGGGGGAGGAUCCAGAGUCUGGGUUUUCCUACAGCAGGGUACUCUAGACUCAGCAUUGAAACCCCAAAGGAAAAAUGACACCCAACAAGGCAGAGAGAAAAGGGAUUUUAUUGACUUCUUAGUGAAUGCAAACAGGUUUGAGCACAUGGAAGCAUUUUGUUUGCUUGUGAGGAAUGAAGACUGUCCCUUGAGGGAGGGGAGAGAAUGUAUUUGUGAUGUUCCUGGGACUUCUGGUUAGUAGUUUGAGGACCAUCUUAACUGUUGGCUAACUUGGUUGUGAAUUGGUUAGGAGACAAAUCAGAAUUCCUUCAUGACUUUCCUGGUGAUGGGAAGACCCAGGAAAUAAGUUAUAUGGGAGAUGCCGCAUAAGAACCAUGUGAGAAAGGACAAGAGGGUAUGAGCCCAGGGAAAGAACCUUGAGACCAACUAGACUGCUUGGAAUUGGCCUAGGUAACCAUUAGAAUUGGGUCCUCAGGCUAAUUUCUUACUGCACUCUCCAUGUGCUUAUCGGCUGUUAAGACCAGACUCCAGAUCUCGCCUUCAUUUAACCAAGUACUUUUGUGUCAUUUUUACUGGUACUGGACUUCGCUUGGUAAUAAACGAGACCGAUUAUAUGAUUUCCCCCCUCCAGCCACGGUGUCAUUUCCAGUGUCCCUCCCUCCCCUCCCCCAGAACAAGUGUGUAUCUUUUCAGACAGACAGACAAUGGCUCAGGUUUCUGUAGCGCCUCUAAGUGACACGUGGAAUGGAAAGGCUGGACUUCAGACCCCCGCCCAUAUCUGUAUCUGCUGAUAAAGAUAAGAAUAGAGCUCUCAUAUAAAAAGGACAUUUGGAAUCACA